rnacentral:rRNA from 1 species
AAAUUGAAGAGUUUGAUCAUGGCUCAGAUUGAACGCUGGCGGCAGGCCUAACACAUGCAAGUCGAACGGUAGCACAGAGAGCUUGCUCUCGGGUGACGAGUGGCGGACGGGUGAGUAAUGUCUGGGAAACUGCCUGAUGGAGGGGGAUAACUACUGGAAACGGUGGCUAAUACCGCAUAACGUCGCAAGACCAAAGAGGGGGACCUUCGGGCCUCUUGCCAUCAGAUGUGCCCAGAUGGGAUUAGCUGGUUGGUGAGGUAACGGCUCACCAAGGCGACGAUCCCUAGCUGGUCUGAGAGGAUGACCAGCCACACUGGAACUGAGACACGGUCCAGACUCCUACGGGAGGCAGCAGUGGGGAAUAUUGCACAAUGGG